GGAAUUGUUCGCAAUGGGCGAAAGCCUGACGACGCAACGCCGCGUGGAGGACGAAGAUCUUCGGGUCGUAAACUCCUUUCGAUCGGGAAGAAUGGCUUCCGGGUUAAUAACCCGGAGGACUGACGGUACCGGUUGAGCAAGCACCGGCUAACUCUGUGCCAGCAGCCGCGGUAAGACAGAGGGUGCAAACGUUGCUCGGAAUCACUGGGCGUAAAGGGCGUGUAGGCGGAUAGAUAAGUCGGGCGUGAAAUCCCCAGGCUCAACCUGGGAACUGCACUCGAAACUGUUUAUCUUGAGUGCCGGAGAGGAAAGCGGAAUUCCUGGUGUAGAGGUGAAAUUCGUAGAUAUCAGGAGGAACACCAGUGGCGAAGGCGGCUUUCUGGACGGUAACUGACGCUGAGACGCGAAAGCGUGGGGAGCAAAC
rnacentral:rRNA from 1 species